UACGUAGGGUGCAAGCGUUGUCCGGAAUUAUUGGGCGUAAAGAGCUCGUAGGCGGUCUGUCGCGUCGGCUGUGAAAACUCGGGGCUCAACCCCGAGCCUGCAGUCGAUACGGGCAGACUAGAGUGCUGUAGGGGAGACUGGAAUUCCUGGUGUAGCGGUGAAAUGCGCAGAUAUCAGGAGGAACACCCGUAGCGAAGGCGGCACUCUGGGCCGGAACUGACGCUGAGGAGCGAAAGCGUGGGGAGCGAACAGG
rnacentral:rRNA from 1 species